GAAAAAUUUAUAACAAAAGACCACUUGUAAUUCUUAUAUUAACAAAUAAAAUAUAUAUGUCACUUAAAAUAUGAAAAAAAAACAGUUUAUAAAUUUCAUGCGUCUUAUGCGCUCAGCUGGAUUCAUUUUCAUAAGGAACUCCUGAACCGAAUAUUUGAAAGACCAAGCACGUAUAAAAGCAAUUACAGUUUUAAAGCUUUAUUACCAAAACGGACAAGAAAUAACAGCCAAAUCCAUCUAAGGUCUUUGACUGAGGGAGUUGAAACCUCAGUUUCAUUAUAUUUGUUAAAUUUAUAAACGGACAAUUUAAGAAAGGUUAGUUAUACAUCAUGUCAGUACCAUGUACUUUCUACCAAGCUGCGAGACCAUCGGGGACUGAUAUUCCACAAGAAGCGUAUCUUCAAAGAACCAUAAUUAAUGAAAUCAACAAUACAUAAAUUUCAUGCGUCUGCUGCGUUUUUCUGAAUUUACAUUCAUCAUGAAUGCUAAAUACCGAUUAUUACUAGUAACAUUUUAAAUCUGAAAGUCAAACAUUGAACACAAAAUUGCUGCAGAUAUAGUACAGUCAUAUUGAAACAGUAUCACCCG
rnacentral:lncRNA from 1 species